UUAUACUUCUCAGUAAUACUUAAUCAUAAAUAUAUAAAUGAUCGUUUUGAUAAAAUAGUGUUGAAAGCUUUGAAAUCGUUAAAAAUGUUGAGGUUAUUUUCGAUUUUUUUAGUGAUAACGAUGUUUUUUUCUAUUUUAAAUUGUUUAUAUUUACCUAACAACUCAAGUCGUCAAUUUGGCAGUAUAAUAAAAGCACCAUGUCAAGAGGGAUACAUAGAAGUAGCCAAUAAAUGCUUAGAAAUCUUCGAUCAUUAAUGUACACUUUAGUACAAUCGAACGGGACUACAAGGACAUUGUCAUAACAAAAAUUAAAACUUUUAUCAAAGUAAAUUUAUUAAAACAAAUCUAUAAAAAAUAAUGAUGUGAACUGACUUCUGUAAUAAAAUAUACUUCAAUUAU